GGGGCCGUAGCUCAGUUGGGAGAGCGCUUGAAUGGCAUUCAAGAGGUCGGGGGUUCGACUCCCCUCGGCUCCACCA
rnacentral:tRNA from 5 species